rnacentral:rRNA from 1 species
UACGGGGGGGGCAAGCGUUGUUCGGAAUUACUGGGCGUAAAGGGCUCGUAGGCGGCCAACUAAGUCCGACGUGAAAUCCCCAGGCUCAACUUGGGAACUGCGCCUGAUACUGGAUGGCUUGAAUUCGGGAGAGGGAUGCAGAAUUCCAGGUGUAGCGGUGAAAUGCGUAGAUAUCUGGAGGAAUACCGGUGGCGAAGGCGGCAUCCUGGACCGAGAUUGACACUGAUGAGCGAAAGCUAGGGGAGCAAACGGG